rnacentral:lncRNA from 1 species
AUGGCACGACCAGGGUCCCCCAGGCCCCCGGGGCAGACCUGCACUUUUUUUGUGGGACCGCUUUUCCUUUUUUUUUUUUUUGCAAACCCCUGGGGAAAUGGAAAGCAGCAGCUCCCCUGCCUGUGCCCUCUGGCACUGGGGCUGUCUGCCUCGUGCCAGCGCGCGCCUGAGCGCAGACCAGCAGCCAGGCCAGCUCAGAGCUGUCCGUCCCCUGAGCCAUCUCUGGAGCUAGGGAGAUUUGCCUUGCGCAGUCUUCCUUCCACAGCAAAACUCCUGAGGAUGCGUGUGCCUUGGGGCUCUCCAUCAAGUGCUCCUGGGACCCAGGGGAGGCACGUGAUGCUGUCUCAGGAGGCCAGGCCAGAAUGGAUAGAGCUGUUGAGCUCGGGGGGCCUGGGAGUAGUCCAAGCAGGUAAAGACGGGGUCUGCUCAUGAACUUCCACGUAAGCGAUAAAGGCUUGUCUUGGGAGUCACAGAGGACGGGGCUCUGAGGGACUGGCCUGUGUGCUUUGCCGGCCUUGAAGGAGUUAAUGGUAGAACUGUUGCUCCCGGCUCCCAUGUUUGCUCAGGCCCCACACUUAUCUAACCAAUCACUGAAGGGUUCUAACUCUGCAAGUUUCAUUCUCUCUCCCACUUGGCGGGCAGUUUCAGGAAACCCCAGCUUAAGUAAUCGUGAUAAUCCUUUCGAAUUCCUUAGGGUCCAGGCCAUUUGGUGUUCCCACUUGAGUCCUGUAAAAAAGACAGGAGGGAGGAAGGCAGAGCAGUGCAACCCAGGGCCCUGAACCCUUCCCUCCCCAUAGCGAUCUGUGGCCCAGAUCCACUUACUUUCGGAGAAGCUGGCCAGGAAGGGCAAAGAUCAGAGGGAAGCCAGGUGAGGGGCCGUGGGAAGGGGACACGUGGCCUCCUGGGGGGGCAGGUGGGGGGCGGAUCUCAUUGUGGGGAGCAGGUCCGAGCGGUGGUCCUUUGAGGAACAGCUGACAGCACACCAGGGCUGCUGGUAUCAGAAAGAAGAGGGGGGGUGGUUUCUCUGAGCUCGUGCCGCUGACUUGCUCUCACGGGUGUCUGUCUCGUGAUGUCGAUGUCGCGGCCACAGUCUUUCAGCCCUGCCCUCCACGGCCCUCUGACGUCAGCCUGUCAUGGGAAAACACCGUGUCCCCAGCAGGGGGUCGAUGACCCGGGCUUUUCUUUCUGCCGUGCAGGCUGUCCAAAGCCUGUGCCCGUUUGCUGGUGACAUUCCCUGGUGUUCCCUGAAGGCUCCGUGCCUAGGGAGGCUCAGGUGGAAGCAGAAGAAUGCGCGGGCGGGAAUGUUGGAGGCUGCAGACGACUGAGCCCUGCCCGCGCCUUGGUGGGUUGUAGCGGGGACCGAGUCUCAGGGCCUUCUCCGCUCCGCCUCUGACAAGGCUGCAGGGAGCCGGCGUUCUCAUCCCGACACUGC